rnacentral:lncRNA from 1 species
AUCUUUGGACGCACCCAAACCCAAGACUCGGUUAACGUUAAAAUAUUUUGAAGAUACAUCUUUGAAAUAUUUUGGAGGUUAAAUCGCAUCAGAUCCUUCUCCUUCCUCAUUUAUCAUUUUUCUCAAAACCAACUUCAAACACUCUCAACUUUUUUCUCAUCACCAACUCAAAAAUCAAUCAACGAAGCUCAAGGAAACUUUAACCAAC